rnacentral:rRNA from 1 species
CCGUAGGCGAAUGGAGAUGGGAUUUCGCUGUGUCCAGAGUAGCUGGCCUUGGCAGUGGCCAGUGAAGUUGGGUGAAAGUAGUAUCCAAGGCUAAAUAUUCAUCAAGACCGAUAGAAAACUAGUACCGUGAGGGAAAGUUGAAAAGUACCCCGGAAGGGGGGUUAAAAGCGCCUGAAACCAACCGGUUACAGACGUGUAUGGCUCGAAAGGAUUUAUUUCUAGAGUCAUACGUUCCGUCUAGAAACACGGGCCAGGGAGAUUGCUGUCAUGGCAAGCUUAACCUUUUACAAAGGGAAGGCGAAGGGAAACCAAACUUGCGCAUUUUUUCCUUAAUGGAAAGAAGAGGCAAUGGAUCUGAAAGGGUCUUAAGUCAUGGCAGUAAGGCUAGAAACCGGACGAUCUAGUCCUGGAUAAGACGAAGGUGAGCGAAAGCUCGCUGGAGGUCUGCAAGGGUCCUGACGUGCAAAUCGGUCCCCUGAUCUGGGAUUAGGGGUCAAAAACCAAUCUAGUCCGGUGAUCGCUAGUUCCCACCGAAGUGGAUCGCAGUCCUGCCUUAGCUGAGGUUGUCUGUAUUGUAGAGCACCGAUC